rnacentral:rRNA from 1 species
CGGCCCGCGGAAUUCAGCGCGGCGCGCGGCCUGGGGCUGCUUCGAUUCGGGAUCCUCGGACCCGAUCGGGGUGUCGCGCCGGGCUCCGCCGCGUGCACUUUCCGCGGGCAGAGCGCCACAACCGGUUUUCGUGGGCGGUCAGAAGCCGAGCGGGAAGGUAGGUACGGUGGCGGCAACGCUGUCUACUGUUACAGCCCGUUCAGGCCGACCGUCUCGGGACCGAGGGACUACCGCAUGCUUCGAGGCUACUCGGCCUUCCGGGAGAGUUCGACUGGGAGAGACUGGGCAACCGUGUCUUCCGACCGCUCUUUCGUGACUGGAUCGGGCUUAGCCGGGCGUGCUCUGUGGGUUAGUGGCGAGUCUGUCGGCACUCCACCCGACCCGUCUUGAAAGACGGACCAA